rnacentral:rRNA from 1 species
UACGAAGGGGGGCUAGCGUUGCUCGGAAUUACUGGGCGUAAAGCGCGCGUAGGCGGCUUUGUAUGUCGAUUGUGAAAGCCCCGGGCUCAACCUGGGAACUGCAGUCGAAACUGCAAAGCUUGAAUGUUGGAGAGGUUGGGGGAAUACCUAGUGGAGAAGUGAAAUUCGUAGAGAUUAGGUGGAACACCAGAGGCGAAGGCGCCUGACUGGCCAAACAUUGACGCUGAGGCGCGAAAGCGUGGGUAGCAAACAGG